CGUGUUACAACCCUGACCAAACGCAGUAACUGCACUAUCCACGAUGUAAACGACGCCGUGUAAGAUAUUCCAUCUCCUACACCAACCUUCAGGAAUUCCGUUCCUUGGAAUCGCUCGCCCAUUCUUUUUCUCUCUAAGAACCUCCCGAGCCCUCAGAGCCAUCAGAACCCUCAGAUUCCUUUCGCUGAUACCAAAUUCAACAGUUUUUAGGGUAAUAUGGCAGGGAGAAACCGUGGUCCCCGUGAAGCCUUCAAUGACCGGCGUGGUUACCUGCCGGAAGGGCCUUAUGCUCGUCCUCCAAUGCCUAGGCCUCCUCCUCAUCCUGCUUUGUUGGAGGAAGAACUUGAAAUGCAGCAUGUUGAGAUCCGGAGGCUCUUAGCUGAUAAUAGGAGGCUGGUUGAAGACCGUAUGGCACUGCAUCGAGAGCUUGGUGCUGCCAAGGAAGAGCUUCACCGCAUGAAUCUCAUCAUUACUGACAUUCGUACCGAACAGGAAAUGCACUCUAGGGAUCUUAGGGAGAAAGGAAUGAAGCUGGAGGCUGAACUCCGAGCUACUGAGCCUUUGAAAAAUGAGGCUGUACAGCUUCGUGCAGAAGUUCAGAAGCUGAAUAACCUUAGGCAGGAACUCACAGCGCAAGUUCAGAACCUCACACAAGAGCGUACAAGACUGCAAGCUGAUAAUCAACAGAUUCCAUCUUUAAGGGCAGAGAUUGAUGGGAUGCACCAGGAGCUUAUGCAUACUAGAGCUGCACUUGAUUAUGAGAAGAAGGCAAACAUGGAACUGAUGGAACAGAGGCAGUCAAUGGAGAAGAACUUGGUUUCCAUGGCCCGCGAAGUGGAGAAGCUGCGUGCAGAAUUUGCAAAUGCUGACAGUAGGCAAUGGGGUGCUGGUGGACCAUAUGGGAUGAAAUUCAGCAGCCCAGAUAGCAUUUUUCCUGCUCCUUACGGGGAUGGAUAUGGGGUUCAUCUGGGUGCUGCCGAGAAAGUUUCUCGGUAUGGUCCAGGUCCAGCUUCAUUGGGAGGUCCUGAGAAGCCUCGCAUGACUCGUCGUUGAGAUCUUGGUGAUUACUGUUUGAAUGAAGCAAUGACUUAUCUGUUUAUUUGAUGUCUGUUAUUCGAAUUCAGAUGGGCGAGAAGUGUUAGCUUUCAUCUAUUUAUGCAUGCCGCAUAAGUAAUUCAUCUGAAUACAUUAUAGAAGGCCGGUACUUUUAUGUGGAAGGUAAAGGCAAAGUAUGCCGGAUCCAAAAGAAUGUCAGAUAAACUUCUGCAGUUCUGGCUAAAGGGCUUUAGGUGCAUGUUUGGCGUUGCGGUCAGAGGGUCGAAAUCAAUUUUCACGCGUGCUUGGCCCUUAUUGAGGCGUUAAGGUUCUGAAAACGCUUUUGGACAGAAGCAGAUUUGUUCUGACCACAUUAUGGCGCAGCAGCAGUUAGCUGCUUCUGGAAAUUUAUUUUCCAGAAGCAGAUAUGAGGUUUUACGAGUUUUCUUGAAACUCCAAUUACACCUUCAUAUUCUUUCAGUGAAUACCACCCAUGUGCCCGCAUAAUAUCCUCUUCUGCUCUCAUUUUUUCCAACCCUAGCCGGCGUCAGUUUGCCAUGUGUGCACCAUCGCUGAUCCCACCAGUUCAUUGCUGGAUUUCUAUGCCACUGAAUGAAAACGAAUAUCUCAAAUAUCAGAAGAUUUGUUUUCAGAGGAAGAUGUUUGAUUUUCUGAGGUCAAUUUGAUACUGGAGUUGGUUAUAACCAUGGGCUUUGCUUUUGCUCUGAAGUGGUGCUAAUGUGAUUUUCAGGAGAUGGUUGAAGGAUGUUAAAGAGAGCACCCCACUUAUAAUGGGUAGAAACAGUGAGGUCGGGCUUUUGGGGAGGUUUUGACGGAGAGACGGGAGGGGUAUUUUCUUGAUUGGCUUGCUGGGUUUGGGCAAUUUUGGUGAUCAGGUGUUCAAGCACUUGGCAUUUGACAUGGACACGGUUCCUAGUAGUUGCUGCCAUUGAUGGGCUUAGUUUUGCCGAUAUUGAGUUGAGCAGGGGGAUUAUGAGGGUUGAGUUGAGAUGCUCGUUUACAAGAGUUGGACUUUAAUGGUUACCCCUGGCGGAAAUUUUUUGUAUUACUUCUAGUUUCGUGUAUAAUUAAGCACCCGAUAAAAAUUGAUACGGAGUCGAUGUAGAACAACUAGAAAUUUACAUGGUCUGUUUUUUCAUAAUUCCAACUAG